rnacentral:rRNA from 1 species
UACGGAAGGCAGCAGUGGGGAAUAUUGCACAAUGGGCGCAAGCCUGAUGCAGCCAUGCCGCGUGUAUGAAAAAGGCCUUCGGGUUGUAAAGUACUUUCAGUCGUGAGGAAGGUGUUAAGGUUAAUAACCUUAGCAAUUGACGUUAGCGACAGAAGAAGCACCGGCUAACUCCGUGCCAGCAGCCGCGGUAAUACGGAGGGUGCGAGCGUUAAUCGGAAUUACUGGGCGUAAAGGGCACGCAGGCGGUUAAUUAAGUUGGAUGUGAAAUCCCCGGGCUUAACCUGGGAAUGGCAUUCAAGACUGGUUAGCUAGAGUCUUGUAGAGGGGGUAGAAUUCCAUGUGUAGCGGUGAAAUGCGUAGAGAUGUGGAGGAAUACCGGUGGCGAAGGCGGCCCCUGGACAAAGACUGACGCUCAUGUGCGAAAGCGUGGGGAGCGAAACGAGGGAUUAG